AUUGAACGCUGGCGGCAGGCCUAACACAUGCAAGUCGAGCGGAUGAAGGGGGCUUGCUCCUGGAUUCAGCGGCGGACGGGUGAGUAAUGCCUAGGAAUCUGCCUGGUAGUGGGGGAUAACGUCCGGAAACGGGCGCUAAUACCGCAUACGUCCUGAGGGAGAAAGUGGGGGAUCUUCGGACCUCACGCUAUCAGAUGAGCCUAGGUCGGAUUAGCUAGUUGGUGGGGUAAAGGCCUACCAAGGCGACGAUCCGUAACUGGUCUGAGAGGAUGAUCAGUCACACUGGAACUGAGACACGGUCCAGACUCCUACGGGAGGCAGCAGUGGGGAAUAUUGGACAAUGGGCGAAAGCCUGAUCCAGCCAUGCCGCGUGUGUGAAGAAGGUCUUCGGAUUGUAAAGCACUUUAAGUUGGGAGGAAGGGCAGUAAGUUAAUACCUUGCUGUUUUGACGUUACCAACAGAAUAAGCACCGGCUAACUUCGUGCCAGCAGCCGCGGUAAUACGAAGGGUGCAAGCGUUAAUCGGAAUUACUGGGCGUAAAGCGCGCGUAGGUGGUUCAGCAAGUUGGAUGUGAAAUCCCCGGGCUCAACCUGGGAACUGCAUCCAAAACUACUGAGCUAGAGUACGGUAGAGGGUGGUGGAAUUUCCUGUGUAGCGGUGAAAUGCGUAGAUAUAGGAAGGAACACCAGUGGCGAAGGCGACCACCUGGACUGAUACUGACACUGAGGUGCGAAAGCGUGGGGAGCAAACAGG
rnacentral:rRNA from 1 species